UACGUAGGGUGCAAGCGUUGUCCGGAAUUAUUGGGCGUAAAGAGCUUGUAGGCGGUUUGUCGCGUCUGCUGUGAAAUUUCGGGGCUCAACCCCGAACUUGCAGUGGGUACGGGCAGACUAGAGUGUGGUAGGGGAGACUGGAAUUCCUGGUGUAGCGGUGAAAUGCGCAGAUAUCAGGAGGAACACCGAUGGCGAAGGCAGGUCCCUGGGCCUAACUGACGCUGAGAAGCGAAAGCAUGGGGAGCGAACAGG
rnacentral:rRNA from 1 species